CAUGCAAGUCGAGCGACGCAUUCCUUAGCCCGUAAGGGCGGGUUUGACGGAGCGGCGAACGGGUGCGUAACACGUGACCAAUCUGCCCCGAAGACCGGGAUAGCCCGGGGAAACCCGGAUUAAUACCGGAUGACCUCAUCACCACGCAUGUGGAGAUGAGCAAAGGUUCAGGCGCUUCGGGAUGAGGUCGCGGCCCAUCAGCUUGUUGGUGAGGUAACGGCUCACCAAGGCAAUGACGGGUAGCUGGUCUGAGAGGACGAUCAGCCACACUGGAACUGAGAUACGGUCCAGACUCCUACGGGAGGCAGCAGGAGGGAAUCUUGCGCAAUGGGCGAAAGCCUGACGCAGCGACGCCGCGUGGGGGAUGAAUGCCUUAGGGUUGUAAACCCCUUUCACGAGGGAAGGAACUGACGGUACCUCGAGAAGAAGCCCCGGCCAACUACGUGCCAGCAGCCGCGGUAAUACGUAGGGGGCGAGCGUUGUCCGGAUUUAUUGGGCGUAAAGGGCUCGUAGGCGGCUUGGCAAGUCGGCCGUGAAAACCCAGGGCUCAACUCUGGGACGCCGGUCGAUACUGCCAUGGCUAGGGUCCGGUAGAGGGGAAUGGAAUUCCCGGUGUAGCGGUGAAAUGCGCAGAUAUCGGGAGGAACACCAGUAGCGAAGGCGGUCCCUGGGCCGGCACCGACG
rnacentral:rRNA from 1 species